rnacentral:rRNA from 1 species
CCUACGGGAGGCAGCAGUGGGGGAUAUUGCACAAUGGGGGGAACCCUGAUGCAGCGACGCCGCGUGGGUGAAGGAGUGCUUCGGCAUGUAAAGCCCUAUCGGCAGGGAAGAAGCAAGACGGUACCUGACUAAGAAGCCCCGGCUAACUACGUGCCAGCAGCCGCGGUAAUACGUAGGGGGCGAGCGUUAUCCGGAUUCACUGGGUGUAAAGGGAGCGUAGACGGCCAUGCAAGCCAGGGGUGAAAGCCCGGGGCCCAACCCCGGGACUGCCCUUGGAACUGUGCGGCUAGAGUGCGGGAGGGGCAGGCGGAAUUCCUGGUGUAGCGGUGAAAUGCGUAGAUAUUAGGAGGAACACCGGCGGCGAAGGCGGCCUGCUGGACUGCGACUGACGUUGAGGCACGAAAGCGUGGGGAGCGAACAGGAUUAGAUACCCGUGUAGUC